ACAGCAGCGAGGGCGAGUUGCUUUAGUCCACCUGGUGAGUCACAGGCUGUCUCGGCUGUGAGAGGCCGACAGGGAAUCGAACCCGCGUCACCCCGUUCAUCACAGCAGUGUCUGACCUGAACCGUCUACAAGAGGACAACAGCAGAAACCAGUGACCAGCCCCCCUUAAUAAACCGGUGACCUGCCCCCCCUUCAUAAAUCAGUGCCCAGCCGCUGUGACCGCCCCUCACCUGUCUGUUCUCCGUGGCUGUUUGACCAUGCUGAAGCCUGGCUCAGAUGACCUUUGACCUCCCUGCACCAACACUCACCUGCACUCAUGGAAAAGAGAGAGAGUAAAGAAACAACGUUUGAAAAAAGGAAGAUUUUCUUUUCUUUUGAUUAAAUCUCCAUAAAAGACAAACUACCUAAACUGCAUGUCUGUCAAAAAGAAAAAAGAAAACAGGAUUAACUUCUACCAGCGGACAUCCUGACCUGACUCACACAAACAAGCGACGUGGAAAAGGCUUCAGGGGAGAGCUGUGAUUGGCUGAUGAGGUCUGGAAGUUAUUUCCAGGUUGCAGUGAGUCUGCUGGUAUUUCCUGGAUUCACUCAGCAGACGAGGAGCUGCAGCACUGUGACGACG